AAAGACCCCGUGAACCUUUACUAUAGCUUGACACUGAACAUUGAGCCUUGAUGUGUAGGAUAGGUGGGAGGCUUAGAAGUGUGGACGCCAGUCUGCAUGGAGCCGAACUUGAAAUACCACCCUUUAAUGUUUGAUGUUCUAACGUUGACCCGUGAUCCGGGUUGCGGACAGUGUCUGGUGGGUAGUUUGACUGGGGCGGUCUCCUCCUAAAGAGUAACGGAGGAGCACGAAGGUUGGCUAAUCCUGGUCGGACAUCAGGAGGUUAGUGCAAUGGCAUAAGCCAGCUUGACUGCGAGCGUGACGGCGCGAGCAGGUGCGAAAGCAGGUCAUAGUGAUCCGGUGGUUCUGAAUGGAAGGGCCAUCGCUCAACGGAUAAAAGGUACUCCGGGGAUAACAGGCUGAUACCGCCCAAGAGUUCAUAUCGACGGCGGUGUUUGGCACCUCGAUGUCGGCUCAUCACAUCCUGGGGCUGAAGUAGGUCCCAAGGGUAUGGCUGUUCGCCAUUUAAAGUGGUACGCGAGCUGGGUUUAGAACGUCGUGAGACAGUUCGGUCCCUA
rnacentral:rRNA from 1 species